rnacentral:rRNA from 1 species
AUGCCACAAUCUGAGGCUUGCUUGCUUGCUUUUUCUGUUUGUGUUGUCAAUGAAUAUGCAAAAACAGUUUGUGUUGUCAGAAAAAAAAAGGCACUUCUCAAUUUGAGAUGGUUGCGCCCUCCAAAAAAUUUAACUUCAUGCCAUUUGCUUGUUUCAAAAGAACACAAGCAGAUUUUGUUUCUGGAACUCAGCACACUAACUUACUCCAUAGGUUAUUAUUGUCGUAGAUUAUUAGAACUUCCAAAUAAUAUCCUUAAUGGAAGUGAUGAGUGUUGCAUUUUUUCUUACUUGCUGUCUAUGUCUUUCUGCUAUCUACCAAGUUAUUGA